UUUAAUUGACAGUUCUGUGAAUGUAAAUAAUUUUAUCUAAUAAUUUUAUAAUAUGGCUUUAGAGUAAAGGUAUAUGUAAAAAUGGAAAAUGAUGUUUUGAUUUGAAUUUAUACUAUAAUAUUUGUUUACAAUUUAUUGAACAGAAGUGAGCACACUUGUCACAGGAUAUAAGUGAAGCAAGUACUCGCGGAGAUAUUAGCUUUUUCCAAUAUCCAAAACCAGAAGACGAUCUUCUUGCAUUAUGGAUAAGAAAUUGUGGUACAGAACAUCUGGCCGAAAAACUAUUAAAAAAAAAUCAUCUUAAAGUUUGUAGCAAUCAUUUUACAGAUUCUAUGUUUUUGAACUCUGCAACCAAAAACCGUCUGGUUUGGAAUGCUAUUCCAACAGUAUUUAAUGAUGAAAUUAUGUCCGAAAGAUUAAGAUUGGCCGAAUCACAGUUAAAAAGACAUAUAGCCCCACAAUAUUUUGAUGAUAGUUAAAAAGAACUAUUGAAGUCAAUAAUUCAAGCUCAACCAUAACUACUGAUUCUUCAAACCAAACACCUGGAUACUUAUUGGCAAAUACAUCAAACAAACUCCUCCCCACCAUUUUUUAAAAUCAACAAGAAUUAUGUUGUUUUCAACAAAAUUUAAAAUUCAACAAUUGGAAAAAAAAGAACAGUUAAUAUCAUUUAAAAAAAAAAAACAAUAAAUGCAAUUUAAGAGCAGCCCCAAAAUUAACAUAUUCUUACAUUUUCCCUAGACCGUUUAAGAAAAUGAAAGUUUUCAUGGCUGUGUAAGUAUUUAGUCAAAGUGUAGCAGAAUAUGUUAAGACUAUGUAAAAACACAAACAAAUUUAAAUCUUUCAUUUUUGUAUGAAAAUGCUGAAAAAUCAAUGUUUAGAAAUUUAAAUAUGCCUCAUAAACAUUUUUACAACUAUAUUUAUAUUUAGAAUCUGAAUUUAUAAAUAGUUUUCCUAUUGUGUCUGAAAUUGGAACUUGUUAAAAAGUAGGAAGGCAAUUAACCAAUAAAAAUGCUUAUUAUUGAUUAUGAACAUCAUAACAUCUGAACAUUCGUGUCUCGGCUUUGAUAAAUAUUACCUAGGUACUUAAGUUUUUUUUUGCUUUAUCUUUAAAGAGAUUUAGUAUCUGAAAAAAAAAAUUAAA